UACGGAGGGGGCAAGCGUUGUUCGGAAUUACUGGGCGUAAAGGGCGCGUAGGUGGCCCGGUCAGUUCGUGGUGAAAGCGCGGGGCUCAACCCUGCGUCGGCCAUGAAUACUGCCGCGGCUGGAGCACUGUAGAGGCAGGCGGAAUUCCGGGUGUAGCGGUGGAAUGCGUAGAGAUCCGGAAGAACACCGGUGGCGAAGGCGGCCUGCUGGGCAGUUGCUGACACUGAGGCGCGACAGCGUGGGGAGCAAACAGG
rnacentral:rRNA from 1 species